GUCAUGCUCCCUUCGUUCGGAAAUACUUUGACAGAAAUGCAUAAAAAAUGAUGUAUCUAGAACUAAAAUACGUCUAGAUACAUUCAUUCCUACGACAAGUAUUUUCGGACGGAGGGAGUACCAC
rfam:Triticum aestivum genome assembly, contig: Triticum_aestivum_CS42_TGACv1_scaffold_404394_5BL